AGCCAGACUCCUACGGGAGGCAGCAGUGGGGAAUAUUGCACAAUGGGGGAAACCCUGAUGCAGCGACGCCGCGUGAGCGAUGAAGUAUUUCGGUAUGUAAAGCUCUAUCAGCAGGGAAGAAGAUGACGGUACCUGACUAAGAAGCCCCGGCUAACUACGUGCCAGCAGCCGCGGUAAUACGUGGGGGGCAAGCGUUAUCCGGAUUUACUGGGUGUAAAGGGAGCGUAGACGGCGAUGCAAGCCAGAUGUGAAAGCCCGGGGCUCAACCCCGGGACUGCAUUUGGAACUGUGUAGCUAGAGUGCAGGAGAGGUAAGUGGAAUUCCUAGUGUAGCGGUGAAAUGCGUAGAUAUUAGGAGGAACACCGGUGGCGAAGGCGGCUUACUGGACUGUAACUGACGUUGAGGCUCGAAAGCGUGGGGAGCAAACAGGAUUAGAUACCCGUGUA
rnacentral:rRNA from 1 species